GUUUAAUGGAGUUUGCUAUGCCUUUUUAUUAAGGCCCGCCUUUUUAUUAAGAAAGCUCUUCUUCCUGGUUCUGGAGAAGACCAUCUUUACAAAUAGAAAUUUCCUUUACAAAAGGAAAAUGUGUGACCUGUUUUUAGAGCUUUUUCUGCAACUGAUGAUUUUCAGUGGGCUUUAGCCCAAAAUAAUCCAUAUGGCAAAGAGACAUAAUUCAUAAAGAAGUAGUAUUAUUUUGGUAUCUGCCUCACAUAUCAAGUACCCGAUAAAUAUAUCCUUAUUUUACAAUUUUUUAGGUUGUUAAAAAAAAAAAAAACCUGACUAUAGGCAAUAAUUCUAUAUACCAUGGCAAAGAGAAAAGUCCAGUUUUAAUUUCAAAUGUUAUUCCUGGGUCAAAAGAUAUCUCUCACAAGUUGAUGUCACUAGCAUGAAGGUCAUGCCAAAAUAUUGCUGGAUCUGCCUCUUCCAAAAGAAUUCCUUAAUGUAGUAUACUGAAAAUUACAUCCAAAUCAAAACUCACAUUAUUUUGUCUCUGCCAACAACCUUAAGUGAUAAACAGCUCAUGCUAGAGAGGUGUCCAUAGAAAACUGACAUUUCCAGUUAAAUCUAAGGAAAUUCUGAGGACAAAGAACCCAUUACUAAUGAAUAAGCGCAUUUGCACAAUAAUUGUGUUGAGGAGGUUGUAUUAUAGCAAUAUAUUACUCUGCAGCACUAUUUAAGCCAGGGUUAUUAUAUUGCAUUGAAAUGACUAGAACAACAGUAAGAUGCUGCUUGAUUUUCUAAUUAUUAUUGAAAAAUGCCUCCUGAGCCCAGCCUCAAAGCCUUCUCUUUUGAAUCAUCUUCAACUCACACUGCUUCUCAUGCAUUAUACAUUAAACCCAUAUGGCCAUUUGAGGUGGAUGGUCUCUGGAGGGAAGCUCCAUACUGCUCUUUUCACUGUAGGAGGGAGAAAGGUAGAAAAAACAAGAAAGAGGGGAGAAGGAUGGGACUAAUGAGACAGAAGGAAGAAACAUCUCUGGGCAAAAUUCAGAAGUCAGACAAAGCCAUGAUGGUAAACCCCACUGAGCUUCAUAUUAAUUAA
rnacentral:lncRNA from 1 species